UACGAAGGGGGCUAGCGUUGCUCGGAAUUACUGGGCGUAAAGGGCGCGUAGGCGGACAGUUUAGUCAGUGGUGAAAGCCCAGGGCUCAACCUUGGAAUUGCCAUUGAUACCGAUUGUCUUGAGUAUGGGAGAGGUGUGCGGAACUCCGAGUGUAGAGGUGAAAUUCGUAGAUAUUCGGAAGAACACCAGUGGCGAAGGCGGCACACUGGCCCAUUACUGACGCUGAGGCUCGAAAGCGUGGGGAGCAAACAGG
rnacentral:rRNA from 1 species